GACGAACGCUGGCGGCGUGCUUAACACAUGCAAGUCGAACGGAAAGGCCCUGCUUUUGUGGGGUGCUCGAGUGGCGAACGGGUGAGUAACACGUGAGUAACCUGCCCUUGACUUUGGGAUAACUUCAGGAAACUGGGGCUAAUACCGGAUAGGAGCUCCUGCUGCAUGGUGGGGGUUGGAAAGUUUCGGCGGUUGGGGAUGGACUCGCGGCUUAUCAGCUUGUUGGUGGGGUAGUGGCUUACCAAGGCUUUGACGGGUAGCCGGCCUGAGAGGGUGACCGGGCACAUUGGGACUGAGAUAAGGCCCCGACUCCUACGGGAGGCAGCAGUGGGGAAUAUUGCACAAUGGGCGGAAGCCUGAUGCAGCAACGCCGCGGGCGGGAUGGCGGCCUUCGGGUUUUAAACCGCUUUCGCCUGUGGCGAAGCGUGAGUGAAGGUAAUGGGUAAAGAAGCACCGGCUAACUACGUG
rnacentral:rRNA from 1 species